GAUGAACGUUGGCGGUGUGCCUAAUACAUGCAAGUCGAACGGAGUUAGUAGCAAUACUGGCUCAGUGGCGAACGGGUGAGUAACGCGUUGGUGAAUCUGCCUUGAAAGUGUGGAAUAACGUUUCGAAAGGAACGCUAAUACCGCAUGUGCUCUCGAUUUUCAGAAAGUUGAGAGUAAAGGAUUUAUUCGCUUCAAGAGGAGCCUGCGUCCCAUCAGCUGGUUGGUAGGGUAACGGCCUACCAAGGGCUAUGACGGGUAGGGGACCUGAGAGGGUGGCCCCCCACAAUGGAACUGAAACACGGUCCAUACACCUACGGGUGGCAGCAGUAGGGAAUAUUAGAAAUGGACGAAAGUCUGAUCUAGCAACACCGCGUGUGCGAAGAAGGCCUUCGGGUCGUAAAGCACUUUUUGGAAGGAAUAGGAAGGAAUGUACUUCCAGAAUAAGUCUCGGCUAACUACGUG
rnacentral:rRNA from 1 species